rnacentral:rRNA from 1 species
GAGCGGUAAGGUCCGACACCUAGCAUUUGAUUAUCAAAUGGAAUUGUAGGUGUGUGGAUACACGAGCGGCGGACGGCCAGAGUACACGCGUAGGAACGUACCCCAAAGUGAGGGAUAAGCCCGGGAAACCGGUGUCUAAUACCGCAUAUUCUCUUCGGAGCAAAGCUACGGCGCUUUGGGAGCGGCCUGCGCCCGAUUAGGUUGUUGGAGAGGUAAAAGCUCACCAAGCCGACGAUCGGUAGCUGGUCUGAGUAGGAUGAUCAGCCUGACUGGGACUGAGACACGGCCCAGACUCCUACGGGAGGCAGCAGUAGGGAAUAUUCCGCAAUGGGCGAAAGCCUGACGGAGCGACGCCGCGUGCAGGAGGAAGGCCUUCGGGUUGUAAACUGCUUUUACGAGUGACGAUUUAGACGGUAGCUUCGUGAAUAAGGGUCUGCUAACUACGUGCCAGCAGCCGCGGUCAAACGUAGGACCCAAGCGUUAUCCGGAAUUACACUGGCCGUAAAGAGCUUCGCGUAGGCGGCAGUAGUAAGCAAACAGUGAAAGCGUGUGGCUCAACCAUACAGCUAUUGUUUGGAACUGCUAAGCUAGAACAUAGGAGAGGUUAGCUGGAAUUGCUGGUGUAGGAGUGAAAUCCGUAGAUAUCAGCAGGAACACCGAUGGCGUAGGCAGGCUACUGGCCUAUGUUGACGCUAAGGCACGAUAAGCGUGGGGAGCGAACGGGAUUAGAUACCCCGGUAGUCCACGCCCUAAACGAUGGAUGCUAGCUGUUAUCGGUAUCGACCCCCGGUAGUAGCGAAGCUAACGCGUUAAGCAUCCCGCCCUGUGGAGUAACGAGCGCAAGCUUAAAACAUAAAGGAAAUUGACGGGGACCCGCACAAGCGGUGGAGCGUGUUGUUUAAUCCGACGCUAAGCGGAGAAACCUUACCAGGGUUUGACAUCCUGCCAAGCUUUCCGAAAGGAAAGUGUGCCUUCGGGCCGCAGUGACAGAUGAUGGCAUGGCCGUCGUCAGCUCGUGUCGUGAGAUGUUUGGUUAAGUCCAUUAACGAGCGCAACCCUCUAUAGCUAGUUGGAUUUCUCUAGCUAGAGCUGCCCCGGUAACGGGGAGGAAGGAGGGGAUGAUGUCAGGUCGUCAUUUCUCUUACAUCCUGGGGCUACAAACACCGCUACAAUGGGCCGUACAAAGGGCUGCCAACCCGCGAGGGGGAGCAAAUCCCAUCAAAGCCGGUCUCAGUUCGGAUUGUAGGCUGAACACUCGCCUGACAUGAAGCCGGAAUCGCUAGUAAACGGUUGGGUCAGCACACUACCGUGAAUACGUUCCCGGGUCUUGUACACACCGCCCGUCAAACCAUGAAAGUCGCCAAUACCUGAAGCGCCAACUUGGUUUGGUUCUAAGGUAGGGGAGAUGAUUGGGGUU